GUGAACCUGCGGAGGGAUCAUUACACAACAAAAUAUGAAGGCCCUGGCUUCGCGGCCGGCUGAAAUAUUUUUUCACCCAUGUCUUUUGCGCACUUGUUGUUUCCUGGGCGGGUUUGCCCGCCACCAGGACCAAACCAUAAACCUUUUUUUUUUAUGCAGCUACCAUCAGCGUCAGUAAAAACAAUGUAAUUAAUUACAACUUUCAACAACGGAUCUCUUGGUUCUGGCAUCGAUGAAGAACGCANCGAAAUGCGAUACGUAGUGUGAAUUGCANAAUUCAGUGAAUCAUCGAAUCUUUGAACGCACAUUGCGCCCUUUGGUAUUCCAAAGGGCAUGCCUGUUCGAGCGUCAUUUGUACCUUCAAGCCUUGCUUGGUGUUGGGCGUUUUUGUCUCCCUCUUUCUGGGAGACUCGCCUUAAAACGAUUGGCAGCCGGCCUACUGGUUUCGGAGCGCAGCACAUAAUUUGCGCUUUGUAUCAGGAGAAAAGGACGGUAAUCCAUCAAGACUCUAGAUUUUUAACUUUUGACCUCGGAUCAGGUAGGGAUACCCGCUGAACUUAAGCAUAUCA
rnacentral:rRNA from 1 species